UGGGGGACUUUUGGGAUAGCAUUGGAAAUGUAAAUGAAAUAAAUACCUAAAAAAAAAAAAGAUAGACAUAGAGAUACAGAUGAGAGCGAUACAGAUAGUGUUUAACCUUUUGCCUCCACUAGGUGCAGCUUUCUGUAGUCAGCUGUUUCUCAUCAGUAAAUUUGUCUUCUACAGGAUUGCUUAGUUGCUUAUAUGUAAGAAAAUCCCUUAUGAAUCGUAGAAAGACAGAAGAAAGCAGGCAUUAGUUCGACCCUGACAGGCAACUUCUUGUCUCUCUCAUUACAGAACCAGGAAGCAUGAUAUUUGAUCUCAUUCUUUAACUCUCUCUUGACAUUGAAAAAGCAAUUUUAAGAACAAGAAGGAUUGGGACCAACAGAGUCAACUAACCUAGACCCUUGGGCUCUCAGACACUGAACCACCAACCAAAGAACAUACAUGGGCUGGACUUAGGCUUCCACACACAUGUGUAGCAGAUGUGCAGCUUGGUCUUCAUGGGGGUCCCAAACACUGGAGUGGGAGCUAUCCCCAAAGGUGUUGCCUCUCUGUGGGAUAUAUUCUAGCUGGGCUGCCUUGUCUGGACUUGGUGGGAAAGGAUGUGCCUAACCUCACAGAACCUUAAAGUGCUAGGGUGGGGGGAUACUGAGGGGGACCCCAACCUGCUCAGAGGAGAAGAGGAAGGGGUAUAGGAGCAAGGAUUGUGGGAGAGGGUGAACAGUAUGGCAUCAGUGAGUGGGAUGUAAAGUGAAUGAAUAAAUAAAUAAAUAAAAACAAAUAAUAAGUAAAAAUCUGUAACUUUUCUAUAAAAAAAUAAAAAAGAAAAGAUUUAUACUAAUAUUAUACUUCUACUUCUUAAAUAGAGAAGCAGUCGUCCUAGAUGCUACAUAAACAACAUUUUAAUGUUGUGGUUAUUUGCUUUAUUGUGGUCCAAAUCAAUGAAUCUUUGUUUCUAAUUUUUAUAUAAAAUUACAUUGAUGUUUUCUAUAUUUUAAAGUUUAUUUAUUUUAAAACCUAUUCCUUGGGAUGGAUAUAUAUAUAUAUAUAUAUAUAUAUCCUUUUUUGAUUUUAUACCAACUGUAUAUUCCCUCAAACUCCAUAUAUGCACACAAAACACUCAUAUGC
rnacentral:lncRNA from 1 species